UUGACGGGGAGCACCACAACGGGUGGAGCUUGCGGUUUAAUUGGAUUCAACGCCGGAAAUCUUACCGGGACCGACAGCAAUAUGAAGGCCAGGCUGAAGACUUUGCCGGAUUAGCUGAGAGGUGGUGCAUGGCCGUCGUCAGUUCGUACUGUGAAGCAUCCUGUUAAGUCAGGCAACGAGCGAGACCCACGCCCACAGUUGCCAGCGUACUCUCUGGAGUGACGGGUACACUGUGGGGACCGCCGCUGCUAAGGCGGAGGAAGGAAUGGGCAACGGUAGGUCAGUAUGCCCCGAAUAUCCCGGGCUACACGCGAGCUACAAUGGUUGGUACAAUGGGUAUCUACCCCGAAAGGGGACGGGAAUCUCCUAAAACCAAUCUUAGUUCGGAUUGAGGGCUGCAACUCGCCCUCAUGAAGCUGGAAUCCGUAGUAAUCGCGUUUCAACAGAACGCCGGUGAACUACGUCCCUGCUCCUU
rnacentral:rRNA from 1 species